AGUUCUCAAUCAUCAACUAUUUAAAGCAAUGAUCAGAAACUAACUUCACCACUAUCUUUUUCCAUAGAACCAUUUGGAAAAAUCAUACAAAAUCAAUCUAUAUAUAGAUAGAACCUGAUUUUUUUUUAGCUUAAGGAUGAAUCUUUGUUGGCAAAAAUCUAUUUAUGAUUAAGAAUGAAGAAUUUGUGUGAAAGGGUCCUUACAAUGACCCUUCACACUCUCCAACUUCAACAGUUUGCUUAAGCUUAGCCAUUGGUUUCUAUGAUCAGUGAUCACAAGGAGAAUAUGGAGAAUCAGAAGAAGCUAGUUAGUAAAGAAUAAUUAAUUAGCGCGUGUUUGAAUUCACGAUGAGUUUGACAUGUCAGAGUGUGCGAUUGUGUUUUUGACAAAAAUUACACUUUGGAGCUCAAGGAAAUCACGGUGCUACCAUGAUAUCGUCAAGCUCACUAUGAUUCCAACCAUGCACUUAGUUCUCCGUAGGAAGAGAAGCUUUGGCUAUAGGUUGGUAAACCGGCAAGUCACAAAAAGGCGAUGGACCGCAUUAGAGGUCCUUAUGGCUAUAUAUCUGUAUGUGUGUAUGAUUCUGGUGUGAUUCUUCUUUGAAGAGAAUAUAUAUUGUAAUAGACAAAGAUGUUGUUCCUUUGAGAAGCUACCAACUUGUGAUGUUUCAUGUUCCUCAAUUUGCAGCUGAGAAGAAUCCAGUUUUCUCUUCAGUUUAUGCAAGAUGAGUAAGUAGGAUUCAGAUUUCAUACAUUGUGUGCAUGACAUAAUAAUUGAUCUUGGUCAUUCAAUCUCAAAUUAUGAAGCACGGACACUCCUAGGAUUAGGCGUGUCCUGGUGUCAGACACAUGUCGUGUCCGACACCGACAUGACACCGACACUUGUAGUUACAUUGAAUUAUGUGAUUUUCUCAAAUUAUUAGUUGUGUCGACGUGUCGGGACGUGUCGGUGUCCGUGUCGUGUCCAGUGUCCAUGUCCGUAUCUAUGCUUCAUAGAUCUCAAACAAUCUUGUAACUUCAUCUUUUUCUUUUGGUGAUAUGAAGAGACUACAUCUCCUAUUACAAACAUAAUAUCUCAAACCAAAUCAACUCUCACACAUGUAUACAUUUUUACAAUACAAUCCUAUGAAUCAUUGGAAAAAAUUGUCAUUCUAAUCAAACUAUAAUCGGAAACUAUGAAGCACGGAUAUGGACACAGACACCGGACACGGCACAGACACGCCGAAGAUCACAUAAUUAAGUGUAAUUAUAUGUGUUGGUGUCGUGUCGGUGUCAGACACGACAUGUGUCCGACACCGGGACAGGUCUAAUCGGAGGAGUGUCCGUGCUUCAUAGAUCAGAAACACUAAUGGAAAAUGCAUGAAGAAUCAGAAUCCGGUUUGUCGAAUGAUUAUAAGAAAUUCACCUCAGAUUUUCCAAGUUCCCUUUCCAUAUUUUAAGAGAGAAACAUAUAACAAUUCAUUCCAAGUAUCUGGUACUCCAGGCAAACACCAAUGGCUGCAAUCUUCGUAUAGCGAAGAAGAGUUCUGCUUCAUUGAUGUCUUGUAAUCUUUUCGGUAUACUGAAGGAUGUCCGUCUUUUCUGUAAUCUGUAAGUCUACUUAUGUUCAUAUAUAUGACUUCGGUUUUCAUAUUUUGGAUGA